AAAACUAGCCAUGAACACAUCAGUUCAUAAAGUGUACAUAUCAUUGAACAUAUAAUGCAACUAGCGAAAAGUAACAACACAGAACAUUUACUUUUUGAACACAAGAACAUUUAAUUUUUGUUUCUGGUGUCGCCGGCUAACUGUCAUUAUUUGUCGGCAGCAAAGUCCUUGAACUUGGCCUACACCAGUAGUAGAACUCACUAGUUCUGUUACCGAAAAUGCAAAACACACACAAAAUUCUCAAAUAAUGAAAUCUGUAACAAAUUUCCACGUUGAACUUUCCUAGUUCAGAUCAUUGAACUCUCCCAGCCGGCGAUGCUUCUCUCAGGACAGAACCCAGUGGACCCUGCACACGGAAAUCCCAGCGCGGCAAUGUUAGUACUUCCCAAGGUGUUGCAUCUGUACUCACUAUGGCAAUGUGUUUGUACUACCCAAAAACAUACGCAAGAAUACAUGGCAAGCAUUUUUCAAAAUCUGUGCUCACAGGAAUAGUGACAACACCUAAAGAGCAUGUUCUUCUCACAUCUUCCCAACUUCUCAAUUAGCAGAACAACACAUCUAUGCAUUUGAUGCACACAGAGGACUACCAUCAGCGCUCAACUUGGAUGACUGCCAGCAACCAUGGUGGACGGGCUGGUGGUGGUGCCUUACCUUUUUGUAAAUCAAAGCUCCUACGUUUAUGCUAUACUUUCAUGCAGUUCUUCACUCAAGUAAUAAUUUCAGUUUAACCUUGAAGAACCAACUUCAGUGUUCGAAUUAGUACCUUUUUCAGAGGUGCAGACGCAUCAAGAAAGAAGUUCUUGUGGAGCUUGAGGGAGCGCUGGACGUAACAUGACAGGGAGCAUAGAACUACCCUCUACCAGGAGGUUGACCUACAAAGGAGCAUCCAUUGACCACGGCGAGGCAGAGGUGCGCCGGCGAGUGAUGCAGCCUCAUUGGAAGUGGGCGGAUGCGGGG
rnacentral:lncRNA from 1 species